rnacentral:tRNA from 1 species
GCCGACAUAGCUCAACGGUAGAGCAACGGUAUCGUAAACCGUAGGUUGCCGGUUCAAGUCCGGCUGUCGGCUCCA